rnacentral:rRNA from 1 species
AUUGAACGCUGGCGGCAUGCCUUACGCAUGCAAGUCGAACGGUAACAGGUUAAGCUGACGAGUGGCGAACGGGUGAGUAAUAUAUCGGAACGUGCCCAGUUGUGGGGGAUAACUGCUCGAAAGAGCAGCUAAUACCGCAUACGACCUGAGGGUGAAAGCGGGGGAUCGCAAGACCUCGCGCAAUUGGAGCGGCCGAUAUCAGAUUAGGUAGUUGGUGGGGUAAAAGCCCACCAAGCCAACGAUCUGUAGCUGGUCUGAGAGGACGAGUAGCCCCACUGGGACUGAGGCACGGCCCAGACUCCUACGGGAGGCAGCAGUGGGGAAUUUUGGACAAUGGACGCAAGUCUGAUCCAGCCAUGCCGCGUGCGGGAAGAAGGCCUUCGGGUUGUAAACCGCUUUUGUCAGGGAAGAAAAGGUUCUGGUUAAUACCUGGGACUCAUGACGUUACCGACAGAAUAAGCACCGGCUAACUCUGUGCCAGCCGCCGCAGUAAGAC